ACUCCUACGGGAGGCAGCAGUGGGGAAUAUUGCACAAUGGGGGAAACCCUGAUGCAGCCACGCCGCGUGUGAUGAAGCAGCCUUCGGGUUGUAAAGCACUUUCAGUAGGGAGGAAGGUAGUGUAGUUAACACCUGCAUUAUUUGACGUUACCUACAGAAGAAGCACCGGCUAACUCCGUGCCAGCAGCCGCGGUAAUACGGAGGGUGCGAGCGUUAAUCGGAAUUACUGGGCGUAAAGCGCAUGCAGGCGGCCUGUUAAGUCAGAUGUGAAAGCCCGGGGCUUAACCUCGGAAUUGCAUUUGAAACUGGCAGGCUAGAGUCUUGUAGAGGGGGUGAGAAUUGAUCAGGUGUAGCGGUGAAAUGCAGUAGAGAUCUGAAGGAAUACCAGUGGCGAAGGCGG
rnacentral:rRNA from 1 species